GACGAACGCUGGCGGCGUGCCUAAUACAUGCAAGUCGAACGAGAGCGACCGGUGCUUGCACUGGUCAAUCUAGUGGCGAACGGGUGAGUAACACGUGGGUAACCUGCUCAUCAGAGGGGGAUAACAUCCGGAAACGGAUGCUAAAACCGCAUAGGUCUUCGAGCCGCAUGGCUUGAAGAGGAAAAGAGGCGCAAGCUUCUGCUGAUGGAUGGACCCGCGGUGCAUUAGCUAGUUGGUGAGGUAACGGCUCACCAAGGCCGUGAUGCAUAGCCGACCUGAGAGGGUGAUCGGCCACAUUGGGACUGAGACACGGCCCAAACUCCUACGGGAGGCAGCAGUAGAGAAUCUUCCGCAAUGGACGCAAGUCUGACGGAGCAACGCCGCGUGAGUGAAGAAGGUUUUCGGAUCGUAAAACUCUGUUGUUAGAGAAGAACAAGUGCUAGAGUAACUGUUAGCGCCUUGACGGUAUCUAACCAGAAAGCCACGGCUAACUACGUG
rnacentral:rRNA from 1 species